ensembl:lncRNA
AGCUGACCCAUGAGCUGCAUUCUUAGUAAUGGCCAUUAAUGGGCGAUGGCCAUGAUUGCAAAAAGGCUUAUUGUUCUAAAGAAGUCUAUAGGAAAACGUUCCUCUGUCCGGACCUCAGUAAUCACUUUCCGGCAUAAUAAGUUUUACUCAUAUUGGGGCAUCGUGUUAAUUUCUGUCAUUCUGAAUGUCAGACUGAAGAAUUGUCCAGGAUGUGCUCGCCUAAUGACUUGUGAUUGACAAGUCUCACCUUGAGGCUUCAUAUAUGGAUUAAACAGUGGGUGACACCACAGUAGCUUUAACAUUACAAACCACAUCAUCUUUUAUAGUGUGUAUGCUAAAGCAGCUUGUUUUAGACAGAAGAUGAACCUAUUGCCUGCUCCAAGGUUAAGAAUCAGAAAAUUAUGGAGGAAUCAUUCAAACCUCUUCAAGUAAAUUCCAGUAAAUUUACUGUAAAAUUGUGGCUGAAAGAGCCUGUUAACACCCAAACCAGGAAACAUUAGCCUGCCAUGUUUUUCUGCGCAGUGGAGGUUCAGCUGUUGGUGGCCAGCAUCUCUCUCUACUCAUCAUCAUUGUAAACAUGUGGAGCCAUGAAUAUACCUGUCACGCAAAAUAAAAUUGAAGAUUAUGGAACAUCAUGGAGUACAGCUUGGGAUCCCCAAAGGUCGAGAAACUGGGCAUGUCCUGGCGUAUCCUGUGGUGGUCUGCAGGCUUCAGCUUCCCUCCCACAGGAAAACACAGAACACAUUUGUACUGAGACCCAAGGGCGGAUUUUCAUAAGACUAUUUUGAGCUGAAUGUGUUGCUGUUUCAAGCCUGCUGACUCUGAAAUUCCAGCGAUCUGCUGAAAGCAGCUGAGAG